rnacentral:rRNA from 1 species
GCAAGUCGAACGAUGAUGCCCAGCUUGCUGGGCGGAUUAGUGGCGAACGGGUGAGUAACACGUGAGUAACCUGCCCUUGACUUCGGGAUAACUCCGGGAAACCGGGGCUAAUACCGGAUAUGAGCCGUCCUCGCAUGGGGGUGGUUGGAAAGUUUUUCGGUCAGGGAUGGGCUCGCGGCCUAUCAGCUUGUUGGUGGGGUGAUGGCCUACCAAGGCGACGACGGGUAGCCGGCCUGAGAGGGCGACCGGCCACACUGGGACUGAGACACGGCCCAGACUCCUACGGGAGGCAGCAGUGGGGAAUAUUGCACAAUGGGCGAAAGCCUGAUGCAGCGACGCCGCGUGAGGGAUGAAGGCCUUCGGGUUGUAAACCUCUUUCAGCAGGGAAGAAGCGCAAGUGACGGUACCUGCAGAAGAAGCGCCGGCUAACUACGUGCCAGCAGCCGCGGUAAUACGUAGGGCGCAAGCGUUGUCCGGAAUUAUUGGGCGUAAAGAGCUCGUAGGCGGUUUGUCGCGUCUGGUGUGAAAACUCGAGGCUCAACCUCGAGCUUGCAUCGGGUACGGGCAGACUAGAGUGCGGUAGGGGAGACUGGAAUUCCUGGUGUAGCGGUGGAAUGCGCAGAUAUCAGGAGGAACACCGAUGGCGAAGGCAGGUCUCUGGGCCGCAACUGACGCUGAGGAGCGAAAGCAUGGGGAGCGAACAGGAUUAGAUACCCUGGUAGUCCAUGCCGUAAACGUUGGGCACUAGGUGUGGGGCUCAUUCCACGAGUUCCGUGCCGCAGCAAACGCAUUAAGUGCCCCGCCUGGGGAGUACGGCCGCAAGGCUAAAACUCAAAGGAAUUGAC